GGAGGAUGCAAGCGUUGUCCGGAUUUAUUGGGUUUAAAGGGUGCGUAGGCGGCCCAGUAAGUCAGUGGUGAAAGACUCCGGCUCAACUGGAGAACUGCCAUUGAUACUGCCGGGCUUGAGUACAGACGAGGUUGGCGGAAUUGAUUGUGUAGCGGUGAAAUGCAUAGAUACGAUCCAGAACUCCGAUUGCGUAGGCAGCUAACUAUGCUGUAACUGACGCUGAGGCACGAAAGCGUGGGGAUCGAACAGGAUUAGAUACCCUGGUAGUCCACGCCGUAAACGAUGAUUACUCGAUGUUGGCGAUAAACUGUCAGCGUCUUAGCGAAAGCGUUAAGUAUUCCACCUGGGGAGUACGCCCGCAAGGGUG
rnacentral:rRNA from 1 species